GACGAACGCUGGCGGCGUGCUUAACACAUGCAAGUCGAACGGAAAGGCCCUGCUUUUGUGGGGUGCUCGAGUGGCGAACGGGUGAGUAACACGUGAGUAACCUGCCCUUGACUUUGGGAUAACUUCAGGAAACUGGGGCUAAUACCGGAUAGGAGCUCCUGCUGCAUGGUGGGGGUUGGAAAGUUUCGGCGGUUGGGGAUGGACUCGCGGCUUAUCGGCUUGUUGGUGGGGUAGUGGCUUACCAAGGCUUUGACGGGUAGCCGGCCUGAGAGGGUGACCGGCCACAUUGGGACUGAGAUACGGCCCAGACUCCUACGGGAGGCAGCAGUGGGGAAUAUUGCACAAUGGGCGGACGCCUGAUGCAGCAACGCCGCGUGCGGGAUGACGGCCUUCGGGUUGUAAACCGCUUUCGCCUGUGACGAAGCGUGAGUGACGGUAAUGGGUAAAGAAGCACCGGCUAACUACGUG
rnacentral:rRNA from 1 species